rnacentral:misc_RNA from 1 species
UCUGGGUCCACCUCCCACCCGUGUUUAUUUUACCUUGUUGCUUCGGCGGGCCCGCCUUAACUGGCCGCCGGGGGGCUCACGCCCCCGGGCCCGCGCCCGCCGAAGACACCCUCGAACUCUGUCUGAAGAUUGUAGUCUGAGUGAAAAUAUGAAUUAUUUAAAACUUUCAACAACGGAUCUCUUGGUUCCGGCAUCGAUGAAGAACGCAGAUAAUUACCGAGUGAGGGCCUCUGGGUCCCCUCCCCCCGUGUUUAUUUUACCUUGUUGCUUCGGCGGGCCCGCCUUAACUGGCCGCCGGGGGGCUCACGCCCCCGGGCC